GCAUGGAACAUAGAGAGUAUUUAAGCUCGUGAUUUUGGGUUGGGUGUUCAGGGGUGAUAAGGUGCUUGUGUAAUUUUGGUUUUUGUUCUUGUGGGUUUUUUUUGGUUUUUUUUUUUUUUUUUUUUAGGAGCCUUGUAAUUUCUGGCUUGUAUUAAGUAUGAUGCUUUAAAUUUUCUCAGCACAUUCAUCGUGUCACAAAAUAGACCCGCCCCGUGUCAAAGAUGAUAUCUGAAACUGAGGCUUCUGAUAGGUGCCCAUUGAAAUAAGGGCCACAGCUUUUGACUCGGGACAAAGCCGGAGACUCAAGGACCUGGGCACACUUAGGCUGACUAAGAGGCUAACCUGGCUAUCACAGGGCCUUCGAGAUAGCUGAGGAAGACUCAUUUUGCCUCCAAAGCGGUUUCACGUUGCCAGUCAUCCGAAAGAUAAGUCAAGGGCUUUGACUCGGAGAUGGGAUGAUAGCAGGGUGGAAAUUCCUGAGAGAGAUUUAAUAAUUAGUGCAGGGGUAAGGGAUGUCCUCUAAGGGGCCUCUUAGGACAGCUAAAGGCAGUGGCUCUACUUUGGAUUGCAGCCAUACGGUGUGCAGAGCAGUUCCAGUAUGUCUUGUGUUGUCUAGUGUGUUGUGUUGUCUAACGUGGGAUCCUUUGGAUCUCUGCCUUUUCCCCUUGAGGGCCUUAUCGCAAGCAUCGUUGUCAUCUCUAGGUUCUUGAACGUUUGCACUUCUUGGCAUGAUACCAAUAUAGUUUGUUCUUCUACUGGCGGGCUUGGCCGCGUCUUGGAAGCAUUGAGUCAGAUGUCUUUUGUGUCCUUGCCCCUGGCCAUAUUGCCAUCCAUCCUUUCUGGCCGUGAAUUGUAAUGUCCUGGGGCUUGUAAGGCUAUGGGGAGCGUUCUGAACACAGCAUUAUCUUACAGCCAUCUUGAUCAUCGUGACUGACAGUUCUUGUAACAGGCCACUCUGUUACAUUCUUGUCUUCCCCUCCUUAGAGCCUCCUCCAUCUAGCAUUGCCACGCCAUCGGUCGUCUCUUUUGGCAUCGUCUCGGUCCUUGCCAUCAUUCUUCUCCCCAAGGGCUUUUUUUUUAUCAUUCUUGUGUCACGCUGUUUGUAGCAUAAUGUGUUGUUUGUGUUUAGCCUGGAACUGCUCUGCCCUGUGGAAUAGAAUGGGGGGUAGGUGGAAUAGAAAGAAGACUUUACAGGUAAGCUUUAGCUUUGCUUAACCACCCGAGUCACACCUCAGACAGAGCGACCGUGGCCGGUCUGUGCAGGGUUCAGCGGGAGCGGUACGGCGGCGUCUCGCAGUUUUCUAGCAGUUCGUCUUAAUGCAUGCUGUUGUUGGAUCCUAGGCAGUUUGCUUUGAGAAAUGACAACUUGGGAAAGGUUAAGCUUUCCCUGUGUGUCUGAGUAACUUUGACAAAUAAUCUUUUUGCAGAGGUGGAGGGAUAGGAUGGAAACCCGAUAACGAACAGAGGAGGCCAGAGGAGCACGGCGACGAGGCGGGUCGGCACCCGACCUCCGAGCGAUGGCCUGACUUUUGGCUCUACAUUCACCUCGUUGUUUGGCUCUUCGUUUCAUUUUGAACACGCGAAGCGCUCGGCACGGCCGGCUGUCGGCACCGGGGAGACCGUGAGCUAGCCGAGAACCGGUGGUCCGCAGCAUUCAAAUCACUAUUCCAAUAUGACAGAGACCCCUGCGGAAAGAGGUCACGGUCAAGCGGUUUCAGACAGAAACUGCCACGCUAACGUGAUGCUUUUGGACCCUGCGUGGGAAGUAAAGCUGGAUAUCAGCAGUCAAGGUGGAUGGAGCGAGGGAGUUCUCUUUAUUAUGCUGAGCCCCCUCACCGACAGGCCGACGGACCCGGUUCACCGCCCUCAUGAGCCCUCCGGAAGUAUUAUGGGACUCUGCGAUGAAGCCUGUACCUUUUCCAUUCGAAGGUGUACCCUGCAAAGCGCGGCUGAAGCGUGCGGCCCGAGGACCACGGCCUUCUUAGGAGACACCGACUGAGAGACAAUGGCCCGGCGAUGGCAGGAACUUCCCGGAUGGCAAGGUGUCAUUCUGUUGCGCCCGAGGAGGAUUUGCGUCCCCAGAUGUCUGAGAGAUAAGUUGAGGGAUACGAUCCACAGAGGGAAUGAAAACAGGAUGUUGGGGCUCAGCAGGAGGGAUUUUUGAGUCUGCUUUGGAGGCGGGGAUGUCCAGGGAGGGGCCCCUUAGCCCAUAUAAAGGGAAAGUCUCACGUCUGAUCUCAAUGCCAAGGUGUGUGGGGCAAAGCAGUCCCGGUGCACAUUGUAUCACCUGUCUGUCGUGCAUUCUGUAUGUUUUGGGCAUCUCGUGUCUCAUGUCUUUAGUCUUAGCCCUUCGAUGUGCUUGUGGUCAUUCUUCUUGCUGAGAGUUUUUUCUCCCCUUUGCAUCUCCUCGUUUGUCAUCUCCCAUGUCACGGGUGCCUGCACGGGUUUGGCCCGGAGCUGCUCUGCCCUGCUGCACACUCUGGCCUAUAGAAUAAGGCCCGGGGACUUGAAAUUUGUAAUGUAGGGUGUAGUUUGGCCUCUAGAUAAUAUUCCGAGAUUGACACAAGAUAGCUGGAGCUGUUAAGUUCUCAUGCAGCUC